UCAGUGAGGCGUGGGACGCCAAGAGAAUCCAGCGCCCAGAGACAGAUCCAUGGGCCGCCUGUAUUGCAAAGAAGGCUAGCGGUCCGGACUUCCCCCGCUGAGAGCCGAUAGGCCCCCGUGACAAUUGCACCUUCACAGCAAUGACCUUGGGUGCCGCUGGCCAGGCUUUGGGUGUACAGAACGUUCAAGCAAGAGAUGGGGUAUGUAGGACAGAAAAUAGACAUCCACCAAAAGGCUUCACCUACUUGGCCUUCAAGAUGAUCUUUCAGUGAUAUUUACGAAAAAAGACACCCAACAUCUUAUCCUAACUGGGUGUCAAGCUCUACAGUCUGGGAACCUCAGAUAAGAACCCAACACAACUUUGCCACACACACACCAUCGGAAACCACAGCGCGUCUCUGAGCAACGUUUGCACGGAUAGAAGACUAAAAGCUCAUUAGAAUCUCCCGGCAGAAUAAUUAUUUCCAUGUUAUUGCGUGUGAUUAUUGAAUGGGAGUCCAUAGAGCAGACCUACAAGGAUUCACUUCUAUCAGCAAAGACACGUUUUCUCCUCCACAAUAAAUGGGCUUGUUUGUCAACUAUAACACACUGGGCACGAGGGACUAUAAUUUAUCCGCCUUUUACCCCAAUGGAGCAUCCGAGUGUUGGAGAGCUGAUUGGUGCCAUUUUCCCUGUGCUCCCAGGCAGGGCAGUCCUAAGAGUCUGAGUACCCCAGGGUAGAGCCCUGCAGGGUGU